UACGUAGGGUGCAAGCGUUGUCCGGAAUUAUUGGGCGUAAAGAGCUCGUAGGCGGUUUGUUGCGUCGGCUGUGAAAUCCCGAGGCUCAACCUCGGGCCUGCAGUCGAUACGGGCAGACUAGAGUGUUGCAGGGGAGACUGGAAUUCCUGGUGUAGCGGUGAAAUGCGCAGAUAUCAGGAAGAACACCCGUGGCGAAGGCGGCUCCUCUGGGACGGUACUGACGCUGAGACGCGAAAGCGUGGGGAGCGAACAGG
rnacentral:rRNA from 1 species